rnacentral:lncRNA from 1 species
CGAAGGAAGCCGGAAGGCACGGAAGGCAAAGCUCUGUCGCAGGCUUUCGUGGUGCAUUGUGGAUAAAAGUUUGUCGCCGCUGUUUUGUUGAGGAUAUUUCGCGAUUGCUGGCGCUGAGAGACCGCGGCCGAAAUGCCGGAGCGAGAUAGUGAGCCCUUCUCUAACCCUUUGGCCCCAGAUGGCCACGAUGUGGAUGAUCCUCAUUCUUUCCACCAGUGAGUAAUUUUGUCUUUG